rnacentral:tRNA from 1 species
UUUAAAUAGCUUAUUUUGUAAAGCAUUGUAUUGAAGAUACAAAGAAUAUUAUUAUAU